AUAACAUAAUAGUCCCUAAUAGUUAUGUAUUAGGAAAUCCUUCUCUUGGUCUUCCAGGAAAAUUCCAAAUUUGAUUACUGUAAAUGAAAACGUUUCUACAGUUUAUAACUUCAGAAAGGCAUGCACAGUUAUAUCGUUAGUGAUAAUCACAUCUUUUACUACUUAAAAGUUUCCAGGCACUUCCUCUUCACCAUGUUGCCAUCGAUAUGCUGGCAGGAAAUUACUGUACACGUUCCUUUUUCAAUAUGGCGGCGAGAGAAAGGCUACUUGAGAUGAAGGGGCCCGCUGGUUUUUGAAAACACUAUGAUUUAACUAGUUCUGUUUUGUUCCUGCGCAAGUUCGGUUGUCGACGAGCUAAACUGCCAUAAUUUAAUUUUGCCUAUAAUCUCUGCUUGAUUUCUUUUUCUUUUGUGCACCUUCAAUUACAGAUUCUCCACUGUUGUUUUCACCGAAUCACAACAUGGCACUGUUUAGUUUAGUCAUGUUGCUAUUUCGUUUAAAAUGAAUUAAUUCAAUGACUCAAUUGCAUUACAUCAUAUACUGCCCAAAUGAACAAUACUGGUGGUACAACCCAUAUCAGCAUAUUUUUUGGACUUCCACAUGCUCCACGGAUACCUUUGCUGAACUGGAAGGUGACAACCUGGGGAAUCAGCGUGUGGGGAAUUAAAGGUGUGUAAUCACUCAAAUGUAGGGGAUGAGUUGGUGGUCAGAUGUUUGUGGUGCCUGGACCUGCAGGUGAGAGAGACACCUGUGGCCAAUGACCAUUCCACCACUGUCUGUGUUAAUGUUUGGCAUUUGCCAUGUAACUAUACCCUCCUACAAGACAGAA